CGUGACUCUGGAAUCCCAGUCAGCCCAAUCCCCAGAAGCCUUUGCAGGGGAGUCCUGGCCCAGCUGCAAGGUGGCUGCUCCUCCCUGGGCCUUGAAGGCCUUGGGGGAGGGAAUCCUACAUCCCACAGGCCCUUCCUGAGAAGAGCUGCCUGGAGGAGGUCCCAAGCCAGCAGGAAGCCAGGCCCAAGCCCACUUCCUGUGCUGGCUUCCUGGAAAGGCAAGAUAAGGAGGAAGAGGCCAAGCACUGAAGGAGUGGCUGCUGGGCCCUGGUGGGCGGGCUGGGCUCCGGAGGGCUCCUGCCUUUGCCUUUGGGAUGUAGCCCGGCAACACUGCCCAGGCGGAAGCCUUUCAGGAUCGCCCACCCCCAGGCUGCUCCUUCUGGCUCCAAUCUGACCACAAGGGACUGGGAAUGUGUGACGGUGUUUUGCCUGUCUACUCUUGGCUCUCCUCCAGGAAACUCCUAGAAAGUCGAGACUUGAGGACUCUGGAUGUUCAGGAGGCGGAACGAGGCUGAAUGAGAGUCUCGAGUCUGUACCUUGUGUAAGUACUUUCUAGACUCUGCUAAUGUGUUGGGGAUAAAAAUGAAGAUCUGCUGUCAAGGAGCUGAACAGAGAUGGGUCUUUCCGGUGCCUAUCCUACAGUGCCAACUUCACCUGCUGGAUGGUAUGCAGCAGGGAGAGGGGCUCUCUGUGAAUUCCUGCACUGGCCAGCAGCACUUAGAAGCCUUCAUUAAACCUUAGUUUGAGAAAUGUGCAGCCACCCCUUGGGGAUCUCUUCUGCUAUUCCAGAAUCCCUCACCAUCUCAUGGAGUGAUUGGAAGUCACUUCCCUACCAACAUCCUUGAUUUCUCUCACUAAAUGAUGGAUGCUGAUAGGCCAAGAAACUUACAGCUCUGAAUUCCUGUGUCUAUUAUCUGUACACCAGAGUCACCAGAACCUUCUCACCCAGAAUUCUCAGGCCUUAAUUUUUCUUUCUGUGAAUGGGGAGGAUUCCCUUUGUCCCCCUCUGGCUUAAAAUGCGCCUUUACUGGGCAUGCUGCACAUGUCUGUAAUCCCGGGUUCUGGGGAGUCCAAGGAAGAAGAUCACAAGUUCGAGGCCAGUCUGGAUAAUUUAACAAGACCUUGAAUCAAAAUAAAAUUGAAAAAGGGUUGGAGAAGUAGCCUAGCGGUACAGCUCUCAUCUACUGAGGCCCUGGGUUCAAUCCUCUGCAGCAGGGCUGGGGACAGGAACCCCUCCUUUCCCUGGAAUGAAAUGCUGUGUGGCCCAGGGAGAAACGAUUCCCCUCCCUGUGCCUGUUUUAAGCCAGAGGCAUCUAAGUGUGUGCUGCCAACAUUCUGAACACUUCCCAAGCUCUCUAGCUCCCCAAACGGGCUUCACUUGAUCCUUACUUCUCGACACACUAGCUUUCUGUAACCUAUGGGAUUAGCCUGGGCCACUUUGCUCGGUGUCCCUCCAAACUUCAUUCCCCUUCACUCGCGGUGCCCUUUGGCGGGUCCUGUCACCCCACCGACAAAUUAGGACGACCGCUGCCGGCUGCUGUAUUGUGAAUAUGUGUCCGUCCAACCCCAAACUCCUGAAUAGCGACGAACUGGGUACCCUGGGGAGGCCCCUGAUGCCUCGAGCCUCAGUUUCCCCGCCUGCCACAGGCGGGACACAAGACUUGCACUGCACAUUUAUCCCAGCCCCUAGAGCCCGCCCCGAGGAUCCCGGAUGGUCGCGUCCCCCACCUCCAGGAGAACCCACCGUCGACCUGCCCUCACCAUGUUGUCGGCGGGGACCGGGCUCGCCGGCCACUUCCGCCGCUGCCACAGCCGCUCACGCUCCUCCCGGUAGCCGCCCCGCCGCGCGCCACCAAGCUAAAAAGGAGUGGCAGAGACGCGAGCCAGUCAGCACCGGGCUUGAGGAACAGACAGCCAAUCCUUGCCUAGAGGGGCGGGGCCUUCUGGGCAUGGUGGGCGUGGCAGGCCGUGUUCCCGCCAGAGAACUAAGGGAAAAGGUCGUAAAGUGCCCCGGCGAGUGAUGCAAAAGGGGGCAAAGUAGCGCAUGCCAGCUCAGGAUGCCUUGUGGGGGAGAAGGAACUCUGCUAGGACACAACUUUGAAGCUCAGAUGUGUUCCUCCUACGAGCAGGGUUACUUGGCUGAUGGAUCAAAAGAGAAAGCAGAGAGCCCCCAGAAUUCCUGGACCAACAGCGGGCCUCCCUGCAGUUUGCAGAAUGAAGACAACAUCCAGAUGGAAGGAGAAAAAAACAGGAAUUCCGCCGUGCCUGAAGCCAGUCUACCUGAUCUUCGCUGUUCUUUGAGUCAUGAAAUUUUCUUCUUUGCUUAGGCCAGUUUGAGACAAAUUUUCUAUCAAAACCCACAAAAAAAAAAAAAUCCCAGCAAUGGUAAAUGGCAGGAAAAGCGAAAACACAGGGUUGGAGAAUGUCAAGUCCACUCAGGGGCAGAAGGAGGACCUCGGGGGUGACCCUGGCUGGAUCAAGAGUGUGGAGUCAACUUCCUUAAGCAACUGGCACCAAAGGGAAUUUGGGGGGAAGAUGUUGGCAGAAUUCAGGCAAUGACUUCGUGAAGUAAACAGAAUUUCUGAAAUCAGAAGACGACAAGACUGGAGGUCCAGUUUUGGAGCACCUGACCACGAAGCCUAUGUCUUAAGUUGGGGUUUCCCCCACCCCCAGAAGCCAAUGCUGAGGUAAAGACUCAAGGGCAGGGCUGGGGUGUAGCUCGGUGGUAGAGCGCUUGCCUAGCGCGUGUGAGGCCCUGGGUUGGAUCCUACGCACACAUAAAAAUGGAUAAAUAAAAUAAAGGUGUAAAAAGUGUUAAAUUAAUAAAGGUAUUGUGUCCGUCUACAACUAAAAAA